AGUGAACGCUGGCGGUAGGCCUAACACAUGCAAGUCGAACGGCAGCACAGUAAGAGCUUGCUCUUACGGGUGGCGAGUGGCGGACGGGUGAGGAAUACAUCGGAAUCUACUUUUUCGUGGGGGAUAACGUAGGGAAACUUACGCGAAUACCGCAUACGACCUACGGGUGAAAGCAGGGGAUCUUCGGACCUUGCGCGAUUGAAUGAGCCGAUGUCGGAUUAGCUAGUUGGCGGGGUAAAGGCCCACCAAGGCGACGAUCCGUAGCUGGUCUGAGAGGAUGAUCAGCCACACUGGAACUGAGACACGGUCCAGACUCCUACGGGAGGCAGCAGUGGGGAAUAUUGGACAAUGGGCGCAAGCCUGAUCCAGCCAUACCGCGUGGGUGAAGAAGGCCUUCGGGUUGUAAAGCCCUUUUGUUGGGAAAGAAAAGCAGCAGGUUAAUACCCCGCUGUUCUGACGGUACCCAAAGAAUAAGCACCGGCGAACGUCG
rnacentral:rRNA from 1 species